rnacentral:rRNA from 1 species
UACAGAGGAGCCAAGCGUUGUCCGGAUUGACUGGGCGUAAAGCGCACGCAGGCGGAUGCGCGCGUGGGGUGUGAAAUCUGGCCGCUUAACGGCCAGGCGCCAUCCCAUACGGCGCGUCUGGAGUGAUGCAGAGGUCGAUGGAAUUGCCGGUGUAGUGGUGAAAUGCGUAGAGGUCGGCAGGAACACCCAGGGGGAAACCAGUCGACUGGGCAUCUACUGACGCUGAGGUGCGAGCGCGUGGGGAGCGAACCGG